rnacentral:lncRNA from 1 species
UGGAAUCAACACAAAUUCGUCAAAGGAGGACUUUUAUCAAAUUAAAAUCAUUCAUUCAUUUUGGGAGAUGAAAUAUCCAUUUCAUCAAUCCCCUAAAUCCAACUAUUUUAACUCAACAAAGUCAAAUCAACCUUGACCAAGGGCCAACAACACAAGUCAAACUCAACAAGUCAAUAUCAAAAGCUCAGCACAAUUUAUU